GGGUUGUGAGGUUAAGCGACUAAGCGUACACGGUGGAUGCCCUGGCAGUCAGAGGCGAUGAAGGACGUGCUAAUCUGCGAUAAGCGUCGGUAAGGUGAUAUGAACCGUUAUAACCGGCGAUUUCCGAAUGGGGAAACCCAGUGUGAUUCGUCACACUAUCAUUAACUGAAUCCAUAGGUUAAUGAGGCGAACCGGGGGAACUGAAACAUCUAAGUACCCCGAGGAAAAGAAAUCAACCGAGAUUCCCCCAGUAGCGGCGAGCGAACGGGGAGCAGCCCAGAGCCUGAAUCAGUGUGUGUGUUAGUGGAAGCGUCUGGAAAGACGCGCGAUACAGGGUGACAGCCCCGUACACAAAAAUGCACAUGCUGUGAGCUCGAUGAGUAGGGCGGGACACGUGGUAUCCUGUCUGAAUAUGGGGGGACCAUCCUCCAAGGCUAAAUACUCCUGACUGACCGAUAGUGAACCAGUACCGUGAGGGAAAGGCGAAAAGAACCCCGGCGAGGGGAGUGAAAAAGAACCUGAAACCGUGUACGUACAAGCAGUGGGAGCACAGAGCAAUCUGUGUGACUGCGUACCUUUUGUAUAAUGGGUCAGCGACUUAUAUUCUGUAGCAAGGUUAACCGAAUAGGGGAGCCGAAGGGAAACCGAGUCUUAACUGGGCGUUAAGUUGCAGGGUAUAGACCCGAAACCCGGUGAUCUAGCCAUGGGCAGGUUGAAGGUUGGGUAACACUAACUGGAGGACCGAACCGACUAAUGUUGAAAAAUUAGCGGAUGACUUGUGGCUGGGGGUGAAAGGCCAAUCAAACCGGGAGAUAGCUGGUUCUCCCCGAAAGCUAUUUAGGUAGCGCCUCGUGAAUUCAUCUCCGGGGGUAGAGCACUGUUUCGGCAAGGGGGUCAUCCCGACUUACCAACCCGAUGCAAACUGCGAAUACCGGAGAAUGUUAUCACGGGAGACACACGGCGGGUGCUAACGUCCGUCGUGAAGAGGGAAACAACCCAGACCGCCAGCUAAGGUCCCAAAGUCAUGGUUAAGUGGGAAACGAUGUGGGAAGGCCCAGACAGCCAGGAUGUUGGCUUAGAAGCAGCCAUCAUUUAAAGAAAGCGUAAUAGCUCACUGGUCGAGUCGGCCUGCGCGGAAGAUGUAACGGGGCUAAACCAUGCACCGAAGCUGCGGCAGCGACGCUUAUGCGUUGUUGGGUAGGGGAGCGUUCUGUAAGCCUGUGAAGGUGUACUGUGAGGUAUGCUGGAGGUAUCAGAAGUGCGAAUGCUGACAUAAGUAACGAUAAAGCGGGUGAAAAGCCCGCUCGCCGGAAGACCAAGGGUUCCUGUCCAACGUUAAUCGGGGCAGGGUGAGUCGACCCCUAAGGCGAGGCCGAAAGGCGUAGUCGAUGGGAAACAGGUUAAUAUUCCUGUACUUGGUGUUACUGCGAAGGGGGGACGGAGAAGGCUAUGUUGGCCGGGCGACGGUUGUCCCGGUUUAAGCGUGUAGGCUGGUUUUCCAGGCAAAUCCGGAAAAUCAAGGCUGAGGCGUGAUGACGAGGCACUACGGUGCUGAAGCAACAAAUGCCCUGCUUCCAGGAAAAGCCUCUAAGCAUCAGGUAACAUCAAAUCGUACCCCAAACCGACACAGGUGGUCAGGUAGAGAAUACCAAGGCGCUUGAGAGAACUCGGGUGAAGGAACUAGGCAAAAUGGUGCCGUAACUUCGGGAGAAGGCACGCUGAUAUGUAGGUGAAGUCCCUCGCGGAUGGAGCUGAAAUCAGUCGAAGAUACCAGCUGGCUGCAACUGUUUAUUAAAAACACAGCACUGUGCAAACACGAAAGUGGACGUAUACGGUGUGACGCCUGCCCGGUGCCGGAAGGUUAAUUGAUGGGGUUAGCGCAAGCGAAGCUCUUGAUCGAAGCCCCGGUAAACGGCGGCCGUAACUAUAACGGUCCUAAGGUAGCGAAAUUCCUUGUCGGGUAAGUUCCGACCUGCACGAAUGGCGUAAUGAUGGCCAGGCUGUCUCCACCCGAGACUCAGUGAAAUUGAACUCGCUGUGAAGAUGCAGUGUACCCGCGGCAAGACGGAAAGACCCCGUGAACCUUUACUAUAGCUUGACACUGAACAUUGAGCCUUGAUGUGUAGGAUAGGUGGGAGGCUUUGAAGUGUGGACGCCAGUCUGCAUGGAGCCGACCUUGAAAUACCACCCUUUAAUGUUUGAUGUUCUAACGUUGACCCGUAAUCCGGGUUGCGGACAGUGUCUGGUGGGUAGUUUGACUGGGGCGGUCUCCUCCUAAAGAGUAACGGAGGAGCACGAAGGUUGGCUAAUCCUGGUCGGACAUCAGGAGGUUAGUGCAAUGGCAUAAGCCAGCUUGACUGCGAGCGUGACGGCGCGAGCAGGUGCGAAAGCAGGUCAUAGUGAUCCGGUGGUUCUGAAUGGAAGGGCCAUCGCUCAACGGAUAAAAGGUACUCCGGGGAUAACAGGCUGAUACCGCCCAAGAGUUCAUAUCGACGGCGGUGUUUGGCACCUCGAUGUCGGCUCAUCACAUCCUGGGGCUGAAGUAGGUCCCAAGGGUAUGGCUGUUCGCCAUUUAAAGUGGUACGCGAGCUGGGUUUAGAACGUCGUGAGACAGUUCGGUCCCUAUCUGCCGUGGGCGCUGGAGAACUGAGGGGGGCUGCUCCUAGUACGAGAGGACCGGAGUGGACGCAUCACUGGUGUUCGGGUUGUCAUGCCAAUGGCACUGCCCGGUAGCUAAAUGCGGAAGAGAUAAGUGCUGAAAGCAUCUAAGCACGAAACUUGCCCCGAGAUGAGUUCUCCCUGACUCCUUGAGAGUCCUGAAGGAACGUUGAAGACGACGACGUUGAUAGGCCGGGUGUGUAAGCGCAGCGAUGCGUUGAGCUAACCGGUACUAAUGAACCGUGAGGCUUAACCUUACAACGCCGAAG
rnacentral:rRNA from 1 species